rnacentral:lncRNA from 1 species
GUCCAGGCAGAUGUCGUUAUUCACAGCAGGGUUGGGGUACUUGGGGUACCGCGCUAGGAAUUUGUGGCAUAGCAACCCCAAGCUCUUCUCCUUCCGACUCGGCUGGGAUUUCUCAAAUUCGUCUCCUGAUAAGUGUUCCUGCAGAGGGAAAGGUUCGAGAUGGCUGUAGCAAGCACCCACCUGUGCACUGAUCCGGGCUGCGGACGGAGCGCACGAGCCCGGGUUCCGAUGGAGCACGCACCGAGCCUGCAUCGGGGGAGAUGCUGAAGUUUCUCGCCUGACACACACGUGCACAGGCUCAGAAGGAAGGACUUGUGAAGUGGCCUGAGAACAACCCUCCAAUUCAGCCUCUGCGCUCUAAGCGCACGACCGGGCAUUUACAAAGGGCUUUGGGAUCUUGACCCCCUUUUUCAGGCUUCUUUCAAUACACGAAGUACUGGGGCGAGGGAAGGAUUCCCUAGGUGCCGAAAUCACCGCGAUGCCAAAGCGCACCGUACGCUGCGCUCCCGGUCCCAGAGAACAGGAGAGAGAAGACUUUGUCCUCACUUGGUCUUCCCAGCAUCUAGCCCUGACCAAGGAGAGGAAGGGCUCGGUGAACACUGAUUGGCUAAGGUUCUACCUUAGCAGGCUAUCCUACCAAGUAGCGAGGAUGCUUUUCUCCCCGCCUGAAGCGUCAAGUGCAAUUGUGAACACGCACCAAGUGCUCAGUAAGGGAUGUGAACCUGUUUUGUACAAAUUGGUGGCUUGUUUGGGUUCUUCAGAAUUGUGGCUUCUGAUUCACUGGAGGUGGCUGUGCCCCUACCCCGCAACCCCCUGAAGUGGCUGGCAUUGGUGCAAAUGAGGCUGUUGAACCUGAUCGUGUUCUCUCUGGCCUUGGACCUGAGUGCUGCAGAGAGAGAGAGAGAGGGAGACUCUGAUGGCUCUGAAGAUCAUGGCCCUUCCCAUAUGAGGUUCUAGGCAGUAUUCCUGAGCCGGUCUCUUGCUCACUCCCCAGCCCUUUUGAAUACCCCUUUUCGGUAUGAAUUUGAUGAUCUAAUUUGACUAUCUCUCAAAUGCUCAGGUGUGUUACAGUUUUACUCUUCACUGUAUCAGUUUGUCACACGGUUAAGAGAGCAGGAUCUACCCUUCACUCGGGGUCAUUCUCUGCAUCCUAGCUGAUGUUCAGUGAAAGCUCCAAGGGUUUGUCAAUGUGGAAACUGGUUGGCAGUCAAUCGAUGGUCUCGCAGCCACAGUUAGAGAUGAGCUGCAUCUGGGUCUGCCCAUGUGCUUUUAGAAUAGGCUGAACUUUAUAACACAUUCAAUCUUUGGAAUAAACUGCCACCGUUUUAUUGUUAGUUGAACUAUAUACAAGGUUGCUGGGGUAGGAUAUUUCAGGGGCAGAGUGCUUGCCUAGCAUGCAUGAGACUGUAGGUGGACUCCAUCCCCAGGACCAAAAUAAUAAUUUUAUUCAUAGAGGAAGAUGUUUGCCUGGGUUCAAUGCCCAACAACUCCAGCUUUGGAGGAUCCAAAUGCUUCUGUCUUCUGAGGUCACUAGCAUGGACAUAGCCCCUACCACACAUGUACACACAAUUAAAAAACAAAGCAUAGGA